rnacentral:rRNA from 1 species
AUUGAACGCUGGCGGCAGGCCUAACACAUGCAAGUAGAACGGAGUGGCGGACGGGUGAGUAAUGUCUGGGAAACUGCCUGGUAGAGGGGGAUAACGUCCGGAAACGGGAGCUAAAACCGCCUCCUAUCAGAUGGACCGAGGUCGGAUUAGCUAGUUGGUGGGGUAAAGGCCUACCAAGGCGAAGAUCCGUAACUGGUCUGAGAGGAUGAUCAGUCACAAUGGAACUGAGACACGGCCCAGACUCCUACGGGAGGCAGCAGUGGGGAAUAUUGGACAAUGGGCGAAAGCCUGAUCCAGCCAUGCCGCGUGUGUGAAGAAGGUCUUCGGAUUGUAAAGCACUUUAAGUUGGGAGGCGUUACCAACAGAAUAAGCACCGGCUAACUUCGUGCCAGCCGCCGCGGUAAUUC